UACGUAGGGGGCUAGCGUUGUCCGGAAUCAUUGGGCGUAAAGAGCGUGUAGGCGGCUCGGUAAGUCCGCUCUGAAAGUCCAGGGCUCAACCCUGGGAUGCGGGUGGAUACUGCCGGGCUAGAGUCCGGAAGAGGCGAGUGGAACUCCUGGUGUAGCGGUGGAAUGCGCAGAUAUCAGGAAGACACCGACGGCGAAGGCAGCUCGCUGGGACGGUACUGACGCUGAGGCGCGAAAGCGUGGGGAGCGAACAGG
rnacentral:rRNA from 1 species